rnacentral:sRNA from 1 species
UCUAGAGCAAUAAUGUCGGAUCAUUUAAUAUAUAUCUUUUAAUUAGCACUUUAUAUAUAUAUAUUUAAAUAGAUAUCCAGUUUUGUAAUGUAAUAAAUAAAUUUUUAACACCCAAAUCUAGGAGUGUCAAAAUGGGUCAAAAUUCAUGGGUCAACUCAACUCAACUCAACCCAUGAACCUUAAUGAGUUGAAAAUUUUUGACUCAAAUGAGUUGAUGGGUCAAAUGAGUUAUCGGGUCAAUUGGUUUGAUGAGUAAAUGAGUUGGAUUGUAAUGGUUAAUGGUUUCAAUGAUUUACCUAAUUAACCCAUCAAAAUUUGUAAAAUUGAAUUAAACCAACUAAAAUCUCUAAACCAAUGCUAAUUUAAGUUUAACCAACACAUCUAAACCAAUCUAAUAAAAUUAAUAUUUUUCCAAAUUUCUUAAAUAUACAAGCGAUGAAUUGAGAAAAAGUAAACUCGUAAUUUUUCCACCAACAAACAUAAACCCGUGAUUUUCCCGCCAAAAACGUAAAUCCGUGAUUUUUCUGAAAAAAACGUAAACCCGUGAUUUUCACGCCAAAAACGAAACCCCAUGAUUUUCCCACCAAAAACAAAAACCCGUGAUUUUCCCGCCAAAAACGUAAGCCCGUGAUUUUCCCGCCAAAAACGAAAAACAUGUAAUUUUCCCGCCAAAAACGAAUACCCGUGAUUUUCCCGCCAAAAACGUAAACCCGUGAUUUUCCUGCCAAAAACGAAAAACAUGUAAUUUUCCCGCCAAAAACGAAAACCCGUGAUUUUGCCGCCAAAAACGAAAACCCGUGAUUUUCCCGCCAAAAACGAAAAUCCGUGAUUUUCCCGCCAAAAACGUAAACCCGUUAUUUUCCCGCCAAAAACGAAAACCCGUGAUUUUCCCGCCAAAAACGAAAACCCGUGAUUUUCCCGCCAAAAACGUAAACCCGUGAUUUUUCCACCAAAAACGUAAACUUGUAAUUUUUUCGCCAAAAACGUAAACCCGUGAUUUUCCCGCCAACAAUGUAAUCCGUAAUUUUCCCGCCAAAAACGUAAAUCCGUAAACGGUAGAAUCUGUAAAUAUUUUAAGUUUGAUAAUAAUGAAUUAAUAAUUAUUAAUAAUGAUAAUUAUUUAUUAUUGUUUUAUAAUAAUAAUUAAUUAAAUUAUUAUUUAAUUGGGUUAACCCAUUUAACAAUUUCACCCAUUAAAUUAAAUGAGUUAUGGGUUGAUCCAACCCAUUUAACAAAAUGAGUUGGGUCAACCCAUAACUCAUUUAACCCUAAACUCAUUUGAUUAUGAGUUGAGUUGAGUUGGGUUACCCAUUUUGACACUCCUACCCAAACCCAAAGUUUUUUAAAUUUGCAGGUGUUGGAAUGAUGUGGCGAUGAAGAAGCAUGGUAGGUGG